rnacentral:rRNA from 1 species
AAUGAACGCUGGCGGCGCGCCUAAUACAUGCAAGUCGAGCGAGAAGACGUAGCAAUACGUUUGUAAAGCGGCGAACGGGUGAGGAAUACAUGGGUAACCUACCCUAGAGUGGGGAAUAACUAGCCGAAAGGUUAGGCUAAUACCGCGUACGCUCCUUGGACUUCGGUUCAGGGAGGAAAGCGAUGCCGAGGGUAUCGCGCUCUUGGAUGGGCUCAUGUCCUAUCAGCUUGUGGUGAGGUAACGGCUCACCAAGGCUUCGACGGGUAGCUGGUCUGAGAGGACGA